rnacentral:rRNA from 1 species
CCUACGGGGGGCUGCAGUGGGGAAUAUUGGACAAUGGGCGAAAGCCUGAUCCAGCCAUGCCGCGUGUGUGAAGAAGGCCUUCGGGUUGUAAAGCACUUUCAGUGGGGAAGAAAGCCUUGGGGCUAAUACCCUCGAGGAAGGACAUCACCCACAGAAGAAGCACCGGCUAACUCCGUGCCAGCAGCCGCGGUAAUACGGAGGGUGCGAGCGUUAAUCGGAAUUACUGGGCGUAAAGCGCGCGUAGGCGGUCUGAUAAGCCGGUUGUGAAAGCCCCGGGCUCAACCUGGGAACGGCAUCCGGAACUGUCAGGAUAGAGUGCAGGAGAGGAAGGUAGAAUUCCCGGUGUAGCGGUGAAAUGCGUAGAGAUCGGGAGGAAUACCAGUGGCGAAGGCGGCCUUCUGGACUGACACUGACGCUGAGGUGCGAAAGCGUGGGUAGCAAACAGGAUUAGAUACCCCUGUAGUC